AAAAAAAUGAGUAUCCGUGAAGGACAGCAUGAUUGUAAAGGCAUUUUAACGGUGUGAUGUAUAUACCAUAAAUUCAUGCUUAAGUACACAGUGAUUUUUAGUCAGGCUACCCAGGUGCUAACAACUUAUUAACAACUGGAUUUUCACUUUAGUGGUUUUGGGAUUUGAUUGUGAGUGUAUGGGUUGACAUAUAUUUUUUUUUUUUUUUUGGUACCGGAGAUCGAACUCGAAACUUUGCACUUUCGAGGCAGGCGGCAGAACCACUGAGCUAAAUCCCCGGCCCCGACAUAUCUUCUUGGUAUGUGAAUCCAAAGGGAAGAGGAAAAUUUUACAGGGACUGAACUCAGGACCUUGCGCUUUCGAGGCAGGCGCUAGCACCACUGAGCUAAAUCCCGGCCCUUGCAAUUUCUUCUUGUAACUAAUCUGUGGGAAGACAUUCAGAUCCUGCUCAAGAUAUUUUAGGUUCAGCUUAUUUUUCCUGCACAGCCAAGAAAUCAAGCAUUUCUCCAAGGGGACCUGGUUUUUUAUGUGGUAUGUUAGUCAGCUUUCUAAGGCUGUGAAAAAAUACCCUGGG
rnacentral:lncRNA from 1 species